GACGUAGGUGGCGAACGUUAUCCGGAAUUAUUGGGCGUAAAGGGUGCGUAGGCGGCAUGAUAAGUUAUUGGCGGGAAAUCGAGGCUCAACCUCGUGGAAACUAAUAAUACUGGUUUGCUUGAGUACAGGAGAGGUUAACGGAACUCCAUGUGGAGCGGUAAAAUGUGUAGAUAUAUGGAAGAACAUCAAUAACGGCGAAGGCAGUUAACUAUUCUGUUACUGACGUUGAGGCACGAAAGCGUGGGGAGCAAAACGG
rnacentral:rRNA from 1 species